AGCCACAUUAUCAAUGAAUGGAUUCACCCGCGAGAUGACGUGGCUGUUUCACUUAGGACGAGGACAUGGCAUCCUAUUACCUGUACGAAAUUAAUAGGAUACCACGUCCUCAUCCUAGAUGGAACAACCACGUCAUCUCACGGGUGAAUCCAUUCAUCGAUAGUGUGGUU
rfam:Oryza sativa Japonica Group DNA, chromosome 11, cultivar: Nipponbare, complete sequence.